rnacentral:rRNA from 1 species
AGUGAACGCUGGCGGCGUGCCUAAUACAUGCAAGUCGAACGAAGUGGCGCACGGGUGAGUAAUAUAUAGUUAAUCUGCCCUCCACAGUGGAACAACAGUUGGAAACGACUGCUCAUACCUCAUAGUGUAGGAUGAGACUAUAUCGUAUCAGCUAGUUGGUAAGGUAAUGGCUUACCAAGGCUAUGACGCGUAACAGGGCUGAGGAGAUGAUCAGGCACUUGGGACCGGAGACACGGUCAAAACACCUACGGGAGGCAACACUAGUGGAUAGUGCUCAAUGGGGGUAACCCUGUCAAAGCAACGCCGCGUGGAAGAUGACACUUUUCGAAGCGUAAACUCCUUUUAACAGGAAAGCGGUACCUGAUGAAUAAGCACCGGCUAACUACGUGCCAGCAGCCGCGGUAAUUC